rnacentral:rRNA from 1 species
GGGAUCCCGUCCGCUCUCCCAUAGUCAAACCUGUAAUCGCUGGAUUAGUAGUUGGUUCGGUGACGACCAGCGAAUACCCUGUGCUGUAUGUU